CCGGUGCAACCGGAGGAAGGUGGGGACGACGUCAAAUCAUCAUGCCCCUUAUGACCUGGGCUACACACGUGCUACAAUGGAUGGUACAACGAGUCGCGAGACCGCGAGGUUAAGCUAAUCUCUUAAAACCAUUCUCAGUUCGGACUGUAGGCUGCAACUCGCCUACACGAAGUCGGAAUCGCUAGUAAUCGCGGAUCAGCAUGCCGCGGUGAAUACGUUCCCGGGCCUUGUACACACCGCCCGUCACACCAUGAGAGUUUGUAACACCCAAAGCCGGUGGGGUAACCUUUUAGGAG
rnacentral:rRNA from 1 species